AUAAAUAUUGUUUUAUAUAAAAAUGCUAUAUUUUAAUCAAUAUUUUGAAUAGUGAUAUUUGUCUAUAAAUCCUUUAAAAAAAAUUCUUUAGAUUUAUUUGAGCCGAAAACAACCGGUAAUUGUUUUAAGUGGAAUGUUUAACAACGAUUGCUUACAAGAAAGGAAAGAAACUGAUAUGUAAGCCUUGCGGGGUUCCGGUUGGCAUUCCGGGUAAUGAGUGUCAAUCAGAACGUCGCGACGGUUGUCAUGGGCCCAAAAGAGGUUCCGGGUCUUGACACUAGGAGUUGAUGUACUCCUAAUCCUAGUCUUCAAGCACAAUUUCUGUACUUUUACCAGUGUAAUUUGCUUACCACCUAUCCACAAUGUACAAUACAUAAUUCCACCACAUUAAUGCUUGACCAUUUUAAAAUUAAUUCAAGCUUGAUGUAUAUGCAUGAUAUGAUAUGCAACUUAUCAGACUACCACUUAAAUGCGGUGUUGACCUAAUUUUGCCUAUUACCCGAUUAAAUGACAAUUAUGUCCGAUUUGGCUCCAAAUUGCUCCAUUUCAUUUCUAAUAUUUCAAUUCACUAAAUACAAUUCCAAUAAUCUGAAAUUCAGCCUAAUAACCCUCACAAUUCUUCUUGAAAAUUUUGCCCAUUGUGGUGCACUAUCACUAAAACUUUUCUCAUUCCAUUUUCUCAUCAUAAAUCAUCAUUUCAUCAAUUUUUCAAACAAUUCACUUGAUCACAAAAUCAAUUCAUUGCUUCUACACUUCACAUAGGGUUCGACCAUUAAAGGUUCAUGGGGAAAAUAGAUUCUUUUCUUAUUGUUUUGUUUCUAAACAUGCUUAACUAACUCUAAACACCAACAUAACUCAAAAUCAAACAAUUCCAACAUCAUUUCUCUCACCAAACCCAUUUGGCCAGCUAUGAUUUCCCCAUGAAAACAUACAAUCCAACCAUGAAAAUUAAGGAGAAAUGCAUGGGUAAGGUAAAUCACUAGCAAAAUCAAAGAAAUUUUACCUUUGCUUGAUCAAAUCCUUGAAUUCCAACACUUUCUCUUUGAUUUUCCCUACCUAGGGUUUGUUCUUCCUUGGUUUAUCUUCUCGUCUGGUUU
rnacentral:lncRNA from 1 species